CGGAGCCAUGUGGAAGUCCGACGGCGCGUUGGAUCUCACCACCGUUACGCCACCGUCGCUCCCGGUGGGUGUUUUUACAACUUCUCCGUUCUUCUAUUUAAGCUUAAAAGCAGCACGACUCUUGAAACAGAUUCUACAUUUUGGUGUUCUAUAUCGUUGAUAAUGUGACCAUGUGAACAAAAUAUUUAUAUUUAAUUAUAUACGAUAUAUGACUGUGAAGUGCCUUCAAUUCGUUGCAAGAUGAUUAUACCAAGUGAAGCUAUGUCACUCGUUAAUCUAUGAGGUUAUAUGAUGCGAACCUGGCUUUAACCGGCGGUAUAUGGCAACAUGUCAGAAAUACAGAACCGGGUUGGUCCAAGUUUCAGAUGCACAGAAGGCACGUGUAUCCCUUGUAUUGGCUAACGAUGCUUAGCUGGUUUGCAUCUUUUGCUUUUAAAGCCCACAGUAAAGUUAGAUUCUUUUGUUAUAUGUUAUUCUCUUUAACUUCUUAUUAUUGGAUCGUUUUUCACUUUUUUCUAAUUUCGUUACAUAAAGAACUGUACACACAGCAUUCAAGUACAGAACAUGUGUACGAUUUUUCCAAUUUUUCAAAUGUUUUUGUUUGACUUCA